GACGAACGCUGGCGGCGUGCUUAACACAUGCAAGUCGAACGGUGAAGCGCCUUCCUUUUUGGUGGGUGUGGAUGAGUGGCGAACGGGUGAGUAACACGUGAGUAACCUGCCCCCUUCUUCUGGAUAACCGCAUGAAAGUGUGGCUAAUACGGGAUAUUCUGGGUCUGUCGCAUGAUGGGUCUGGGAAAGAUAUUGUUUCGGUGGGGGAUGGGCUCGCGGCCUAUCAGCUUGUUGGUGGGGUGAUGGCCUACCAAGGCGGUGACGGGUAGCCGGCCUGAGAGGGUGGACGGUCACACUGGGACUGAGACACGGCACAGACUCGUACGGGAGGCAGCAGUGGGGAAUAUUGCACAAUGGGCGCAAGCCUGAUGCAGCGACGCCGCGUGAGGGAUGGAGGCCUUCGGGUUGUGAACCUCUUUCGCCAGUGAAGCAGGCCUGCCUCGUUUGUGGGUGGGUUGACGGUAGCUGGAUAAGAAGCGCCGGCUAACUACGUG
rnacentral:rRNA from 1 species